AGACCCGAAACCCGGUGAUCUAGCCAUGGGCAGGUUGAAGGUUGGGUAACACUAACUGGAGGACCGAACCGACUAAUGUUGAAAAAUUAGCGGAUGACUUGUGGCUGGGGGUGAAAGGCCAAUCAAACCGGGAGAUAGCUGGUUCUCCCCGAAAGCUAUUUAGGUAGCGCCUCGUGAAUUCAUCUCCGGGGGUAGAGCACUGUUUCGGCAAGGGGGUCAUCCCGACUUACCAACCCGAUGCAAACUGCGAAUACCGGAGAAUGUUAUCACGGGAGACACACGGCGGGUGCUAACGUCCGUCGUGAAGAGGGAAACAACCCAGACCGCCAGCUAAGGUCCCAAAGUCAUGGUUAAGUGGGAAACGAUGUGGGAAGGCCCAGACAGCCAGGAUGUUGGCUUAGAAGCAGCCAUCAUUUAAAGAAAGCGUAAUAGCUCACUGGUCGAGUCGGCCUGCGCGGAAGAUGUAACGGGGCUAAACCAUGCACCGAAGCUGCGGCAGCGACACUGUGUGUUGUUGGGUAGGGGAGCGUUCUGUAAGCCUGUGAAGGUGUGCUGUGAGGCAUGCUGGAGGUAUCAGAAGUGCGAAUGCUGACAUAAGUAACGAUAAAGCGGGUGAAAAGCCCGCUCGCCGGAAGACCAAGGGUUCCUGUCCAACGUUAAUCGGGGCAGGGUGAGUCGACCCCUAAGGCGAGGCCGAAAGGCGUAGUCGAUGGGAAACAGGUUAAUAUUCCUGUACUUGGUGUUACUGCGAAGGGGGGACGGAGAAGGCUAUGUUGGCCGGGCGACGGUUGUCCCGGUUUAAGCGUGUAGGCUGGUUUUCCAGGCAAAUCCGGAAAAUCAAGGCUGAGGCGUGAUGACGAGGCACUACGGUGCUGAAGCAACAAAUGCCCUGCUUCCAGGAAAAGCCUCUAAGCAUCAGGUAACAUCAAAUCGUACCCCAAACCGACACAGGUGGUCAGGUAGAGAAUACCAAGGCGCUUGAGAGAACUCGGGUGAAGGAACUAGGCAAAAUGGUGCCGUAACUUCGGGAGAAGGCACGCUGAUAUGUAGGUGAAGUCCCUCGCGGAUGGAGCUGAAAUCAGUCGAAGAUACCAGCUGGCUGCAACUGUUUAUUAAAAACACAGCACUGUGCAAACACGAAAGUGGACGUAUACGGUGUGACGCCUGCCCGGUGCCGGAAGGUUAAUUGAUGGGGUCAGCGCAAGCGAAGCUCUUGAUCGAAGCCCCGGUAAACGGCGGCCGUAACUAUAACGGUCCUAAGGUAGCGAAAUUCCUUGUCGGGUAAGUUCCGACCUGCACGAAUGGCGUAAUGAUGGCCAGGCUGUCUCCACCCGAGACUCAGUGAAAUUGAACUCGCUGUGAAGAUGCAGUGUACCCGCGGCAAGACGGAAAGACCCCGUGAACCUUUACUAUAGCUUGACACUGAACAUUGAGCCUUGAUGUGUAGGAUAGGUGGGAGGCUUUGAAGUGUGGACGCCAGUCUGCAUGGAGCCGACCUUGAAAUACCACCCUUUAAUGUUUGAUGUUCUAACGUGGACCCGUGAUCCGGGUUGCGGACAGUGUCUGGUGGGUAGUUUGACUGGGGCGGUCUCCUCCUAAAGAGUAACGGAGGAGCACGAAGGUUGGCUAAUCCUG
rnacentral:rRNA from 1 species